rfam:Runella slithyformis DSM 19594, complete genome.
GGGCUUGUAGCUCAGGUGGUUAGAGCGCUACACUGAUAAUGUAGAGGUCCCAGGUUCGAGUCCUGGCAGGCCCA